AGUGAACGCUGGCGGUAGGCCUAACACAUGCAAGUCGAACGGCAGCACAGUAAGAGCUUGCUCUUACGGGUGGCGAGUGGCGGACGGGUGAGGAAUACAUCGGAAUCUACUUUUUCGUGGGGGAUAACGUAGGGAAACUUACGCUAAUACCGCAUACGACCUACGGGUGAAAGCAGGGGAUCUUCGGACCUUGCGCGAUUGUAUGAGCCGAUGUCGGAUUAGCUAGUUGGCGGGGUAAAGGCCCACCAAGGCGACGAUCCGUAGCUGGUCUGAGAGGAUGAUCAGCCACCCUGGAACUGAGACACGGUCCAGACUCCUACGGGAGGCAGCAGUGGGGAAUAUUGGACAAUGGGCGCAAGCCUGAUCCAGCCAUACCGCGUGGGUGAAGAAGGCCUUCGGGUUGUAAAGCCCUUUUGUUGGGAAAGAAAAGCAGCAGGUUAAUACCCCGCUGUUCUGACGGUACCCAAAGAAUAAGCACCGGCUAACUUCGUG
rnacentral:rRNA from 1 species